AGAGCUCAGAAUAAAACCUUUUGAAACUGCAUGAGCAGAAGACAUGGGGUAUGAAAAAUAAAAUCAGAAGAGGUACCUAGAGACCACCGGAGAACACCAACAUGAAAGGGGAACGACUCUCAUGAAGUAACAGGACAGCAAGUGAAAGAAAGCACUGGAAGGGGAGGAGGUAGACAAGAAACCAAGAAUCCCUGCCUCAUCAUUAUGCCUCCAGC
rnacentral:lncRNA from 1 species